AGUGUGUUGUGAAAUGUAGACGCUCAACGUCUGAAUUGCAGCGCAUACUGGUUUCCUUGAGUACGCACAACGUUGGCGGAAUUCGUCGUGUAGCGGUGAAAUGCUUAGAUAUGACGAAGAACUCCGAUUGCGAAGGCAGCUGACGGGAGCGCAACUGACGCUUAAGCUCGAAGGUGCGGGUAUCAAACAGGAUUAGAUACCCUGGUAGUCCGCACAGUAAACGAUGGAUGCCCGCUGUUGGUACCUGGUAUCAGCGGCUAAGCGAAAGCAUUAAGCAUCCCACCUGGGGAGUACGCCGGCAACGGUGAAACUCAAAGGAAUUGACGGGGGCCCGCACAAGCGGAGGAACAUGUGGUUUAAUUCGAUGAUACGCGAGGAACCUUACCCGGGCU
rnacentral:rRNA from 1 species